rnacentral:rRNA from 1 species
GACGAACGCUGGCGGCGUGCUUAACACAUGCAAGUCGAACGGAAAGGCCCUGCUUUUGUGGGGUGCUCGAGUGGCGAACGGGUGAGUAACACGUGAAUAACCUGCCCUUGACUUUGGGAUAACUUCAGGAAACUGGGGCUAAUACCGGAUAGGAGCUCCUGCUGCGUGGUGGGGGUUGGAAAGUUUCGGCGGUUGGGGAUGGACUCGCGGCUUAUCAGCUUGUUGGUGGGGUAGUGGCUUACCAAGGCUUUGACGGGUAGCCGGCCUGAGAGGGUGACCGGCCACAUUGGGACUGAGAUACGGCCCAGACUCCUACGGGAGGCAGCAGUGGGGAAUAUUGCACAAUGGGCGGAAGCCUGAUGCAGCAACGCCGCGUGCGGGAUGACGGCCUUCGGGUUGUAAACCGCUUUCGCCUGUGACGAAGCGUGAGUGACGGUAAUGGGUAAAGAAGCACCGGCUAACUACGU